rnacentral:rRNA from 1 species
UACGUAGGUGGCAAGCGUUGUCCGGAUUUACUGGGCGUAAAGGGUGCGCAGGUGGCCAAGUGUGUUAGGCGUGAAAGCCUGGGGCUUAACCCCAGAAUUGCACCUAAAACUACAUGGCUAGAGCAUUGGAGAGGGUAGCGGAAUUCACGGUGUAGCAGUGAAAUGCGUAGAUAUCGUGAGGAACACCAGAGGCGAAGGCGGCUACCUGGACAAUUGCUGACACUCAGGCACGAAAGCGUGGGGAGCAAAAGGG